GAUGAAGAACGUAGCGAAAUGCGAUAAGUAAUGUGAAUUGCAGAACUCAGUGAAUCAUCGAAUCUUUGAACGCACAUUGCGCCCCCUGGUAUUCCGGGGGGCAUGCCUGUCCGAGCGUCAUUACAACCCUCAAGCUCAGCUUGGUAUUGGGCCCCGCCGACCCGGCGGGCCCUAAAGUCAGUGGCGGUGCCGUCCGGCUCCGAGCGUAGUAAUUCGUCUCGCUCUGGAGGUCCGGUCGUGUGCUCGCCAGCAACCCCCAAUUUUUUUCAGGUUGACCUCGGAUCAGGUAGGGAUACCCGCUGAACUUAAGCAUAUCAAUAAGCGGAGGA
rnacentral:misc_RNA from 1 species